rnacentral:rRNA from 1 species
GACGAACGCUGGCGGCGUGCUUAACACAUGCAAGUCGAACGGAAAGGCCCUGCUUUUGUGGGGUGCUCGAGUGGCGAACGGGUGAGUAACACGUGAGUAACCUGCCCUUGACUUUGGGAUAACUUCAGGAAACUGGGGCUAAUACCGGAUAGGAGCUCCUGCUGCAUGGUGGGGGUUGGAAAGUUUCGGCGGUUGGGGAUGGACUCGCGGCUUAUCAGCUUGUUGGUGUGGUAGUGGCUUACCAAGGCUUUGACGGGUAGCCGGCCUGAGAGGGUUACCGGCCACAUUGGGACUGAGAUACGGCCCAGACUCCUACGGGAGGCAGCAGGGGGGAAUAUUGCACAAUGGGCGGAAGCCUGAUGCAGCAACGCCGCGUGCGGGAUGACGGCCUUCGGGUGGUAAACCGCUUUCGCCUGUGACGAAGCGUGAGUGACGGUAAUGGGUAAAGAAGCACCGGCUAACUACGUG